GGAGAAACUUGCCGCCGAUCGAUGACAUCGCUCCUUGCGUUGCGUCCAGGACUCGAUUGACCGCUGCGGCACUGCUCCUCGCGAUCAGGCGGAGGCGACAGGCAAUCAGGACAUCAGGUCCUCCUCAGGCUCGACCCGCGACGGCACGCAGAGACCGAUCGACGCAGAGAUCGGGCAAUCCUUGCAGGACAAAUCAUGAGAAGAACAAAGUGUCAAUCCGGUGCUGAAAAAAAGAGGAAGAAACAGAGAUUAGAUGCAGUAACUCAGUCCCUAAAGGGUGCUCUAGAUA